rnacentral:rRNA from 1 species
ACUUACGGCCAUACCAGCCUGGGUACGCCCGAUCUCGUCUGAUCUCGAAAGCUAAGCAGGGUCGGGCCUGGUUAGUACUUGGAUGGGAGACCGCCUGGGAAUACCAGGUGCUGUAAGCA